AGAGUUUGAUCCUGGCUCAGAACGAACGCUGGCGGCAUGCUUAACACAUGCAAGUCGAACGAGAAAGCUCAGCAAUGGGCGAGUAAAGUGGCGACCGGGUGAGUAACGCGUAGGUAAUCGACCUUCAAGACAGGGAUAACAUUUCGAAAGGAAUGCUAAUACCUGAUAAGACUACGGUAUUGAUGUAUAGUAGUAAAAGGUGGCCUCUCCAUGGAAGCUACCACUUGAAGAAGAGCCUGCGUACCAUUAGCUUGUUGGCGGAGUAAUAGCCCACCAAGGCUACGAUGGUUAGCUGGUCUGAGAGGAUGAUCAGCCACACUGGAACUGAAACACGGUCCAGACUCCUACGGGAGGCAGCAGUGGGGAAUAUUGCACAAUGGGGGAAACCCUGAUGCAGCAACGCCGCGUGAGUGAGGAAGGUUUUCGGAUUGUAAAGCUCUGUCAGAUGGGAAGAAGUGUAAUAAGAAAAAUAUUUUUAUUACAUUGACGGUACCAUCAAAGGAAGCACCGGCUAACUCCGUGCCAGCAGCCGCGGUAAUACGGAAGGUGCAAGCGUUGUUCGGAAUUACUGGGCGUAAAGAACGUGUAGGCGGCUACAUAAGUCAGGUGUGAAAUCUCUCGGCUUAACCGAGAAAGUGCAUUUGAAACUGUGUAACUUGAAUACGGGAGAGGAGAGUGGAAUUCCUAGUGUAGAGGUGAAAUUCGCAGAUAUUAGGAGGAACACCGGUGGCGAAGGCGACUCUCUGGACCGCUAUUGACGCUGAGACGCGAGAGCGUGGGGAGCGAACAGGAUUAGAUACCCUGGUAGUCCACGCCGUAAACGAUGGACACUAGGUGUAGAGGGUAUUUUAAACCUUCUGUGCCGGAGCUAACGCAUUAAGUGUCCCGCCUGGGGAGUACGGUCGCAAGACUAAAACUCAAAGGAAUUGACGGGGGCCCGCACAAGCGGU
rnacentral:rRNA from 1 species